rnacentral:rRNA from 1 species
GGUAUCUUGACCGUGCGAAGGUAGCGCAAUCACUUGUCUUUUAAAUGAAGACCUGUAUGAAUGGUAGAACGAAGGCUUAACUGUCUCCCCUUUCAAGUCAAUGAAAUUAAUCUGCCCGUGCAGAAGCGGGCACACACAUAUAAGACGAGAAGACCCUUUGGAGCUUAAGACGCACGACCAACUACGUUAAAACACCAAGUAAGGCCUGGUCCCAGUCUUCAGUUGGGGCGACUACGGGAAAAAAUAAAACUCCCACGUGGAUUGGGGAACCCCCUAAAACCAAGAAAGACACUUCUAAGAAGCAGAACCUCUGACCAAAUAGAUCCGGCACACAGCCGACCAACGAACCAAGUUACCCUAGGGAUAACAGCGCAAUCCCCUUUCAGAGCCCAUAUCGACAAGGGGGUUUACGACCUCGAUGUUGGAUCAGGACAUCCUAAUGGUGCAGCCGCUAUUAAGGGUUCGUUUGUU